AGCUUAGUUGGUAAAGCAUCUGCCUGCAAUGCUGGAGACCUGGGUUCGAUUCCUAG
rnacentral:tRNA from 1 species